CCGCACCUUAGAUGGCGAGAGUCCAGCAAGCAAAAGCAUCACUAGCUUGAGCUCUGACCCUAGUAACAUGAGACACAUGGAAUCUCAUGUGAAUCAGCAAGGACCACCAUGCAAGGUUAAAUAGUCCUGGGUGAUUAAUAGUGAAGUAGUACUGGAAGGAAAGGGUGAAAAGAACCCAGGGAGUGAAAUAGAAAAUGAAAC
rnacentral:sRNA from 1 species